rnacentral:lncRNA from 1 species
AAAUUUUUGAAUAAGCCUUCAUUAUUUCUUAGAUGAACAUGGAAAUUAAUUGAACGGUAAUUAUUUCUUAUCAAAUGUGAUUCUUUUGUUGUUCUUAUGUGAUAGGGCUCGGAGAUGAAAACAUUUUAUAUAAGUCUUGAUGUGAUUCUAUUGUUUUUCAAAGAAUCACCUAUGGUAUUGGAGGAAUGACCAAGUAAACAAUAGCUUAUAUGCUCCUACAAAAAGUUUAAGAAUCCAAUCUUACAUCUAAAUAAAUCAAAAUAUAAUACAAAAUUAUUUCCAUUCAUUACAUGAAGCAGUAACAAGAAGCCCACAAUUAAGACAUGUUUCCUAUCCCACAUCUAAAUUAGUCUUCCUCCCUACACUUUGAUUAAGACCAGAUUAUCUAAAACAGAUCCUCAAUAAAAUGCAAUUUACAGUCUUGAAAAUCAUCCUAACAUUAAGACAUUACUUGUCACUCUCAUUUGAUGUUGACAAGUAGUUAUUAACAUAUAAAAACCUAUAUGUAGGAUUUUUUGAUUCAUGGCUACAAUGUGCUCAAAUUGAGUCUGUGUCUCAUGAUUUUGGCAGAGCAUCCAUGAUAAAGAAAAUCACAAAAAGGAAUCUCAAAAAGUAUUUUUAAUCAAUGAUAAGUAGUGCCCACAGAGAACAACUCGAAAAGAAAAAGAUAAUACAAAUUAACCAAACUGAUAAAAAAGCCAUACAAAGAAACUUACACCAAAUAUUGAUUUCUAAGAUAAGAAGCACCAAUACCACUUGAAGCAAAAAUUAGCACAAAUAAGUUUCAUGAAAUACAAAAUGAAUAAGGAAAGUGAAAAAUCAAAAAUCUAUACAGUGAGGGAAAAGUUGGGAAUUGGGGGUGGAUGUUAAAAUAUAUGCAGUAAUAAAAUUGAAAAAAAU